rnacentral:rRNA from 1 species
UACGAAGGAUGCAAGCGUUAUCCGGCAUUUAUUGGGUUUAAAGGGUGCGUAGGCGGACUUAUAAGUCAGUGGUGAAAUCUCGUUGCUUAACAACGAACGUGCCAUUGAUACUGUAGGUCUUGAGUACAGAUGCCGUUGGCGGAAUGUGUCAUGUAGCGGUGAAAUGCAUAGAUAUGACACAGAACACCGAUUGCGAAGGCAGCUGACGAAACUGUAACUGACGCUGAGGCACGAAGCGUGGGAUCAACAGG